UCUAAGUCAGUACCAAAGUCUACAAUGGCUCAUUUGCAUACUUGUCUUACACCUUGGAGUAUAUAUUUCCAUCCCCGCGAGCCCUCCUCAUUCAUUCCCGCCAGCCGUGACCUCAGAGUGACAUCGUGCCGUGAUCUACUUGUCCAGGAAUUCUCUGAAGCUACACCAUGAAGCUGUUUGUCUGCAUGAUGCUGGUGACGAUGGUUGUCAUGGCAACGCUAUUCGACGACUCUGAGGGAUGGAGGCGUCGGCGCAGGCGCAGAAGGGGUCGUCUUGAUGUCGAUGCAGAUGCUGACUCCGAGUUGAGGGAGGUUGUGGAAGAGGCGAGGUCGCUCCUGGAGGAACUUGAUGAGGCCAGUGAACACUUGGAUACACGGGAACUACAGGACGAGGAAGUGGAGAACAUACUCGCGGAUCAGGAAAAAGUUCAAAAGAGAAGGACUCUCGAGCAAGGAGUAUAGUUGAGUUGAAUCUAGUUUAGAACCAAAGGAUGAUUGGUCGUCGAAUUUAUUUUUCUUCGAUUGAAUAUGUUUUGUCUCGUGUUAAUCCUUUCACACAACAUGUAAUGUUAUUCAACCAAAAUAUCAAUUUGAGCUGGUAAAAAUUGUGUCUGCUAAUGGAUUCAAUCUGUUGAAUAAGAAUCAGCCAAGUCAAUGUAUUAUAUUUUGUACUUGAUUCUUACUGAUUUAAUAAAAUUUUAUUGAUGGCAAACUGAA